rnacentral:tmRNA from 1 species
GGGGGUGUAAAGGUUUCGACGGGGGUAGGAAGCAAAGGUUGCAUGCCGGGGUGUGGGCAGGCCCCGUAAAACAGCCCACACGGCUAUAAAUGCCGACAAUUACAGCUACGCCGUAGCAGCUUAAUACCCUGCUACCGUCUCUCCUAGUUCUUCUCAUGGGCCGGGAAGAGGCGUCAUUUUCGUGAGAUAGUUUUCCCGAAGGCCCACGGCGGGGAAGCGAAACCUAGUGGGAUCGCGGUCUGAAGAUUCUGUUCGGUGAAGACGAUGACUGCUAAACCUUAAACACCGAAACAAGCAUGUAGACGCCUUCUGUGUAUGACUUUCGGACGCGGGUUCGAUUCCCGCCACCUCCACCA